rnacentral:rRNA from 1 species
UACGUAGGGGGCAAGCGUUGUCCGGAUUUAUUGGGCGUAAAGAGCGUGUAGGCGGCCAUGUAGGUCCGUUGUGAAAACUCGAGGCUCAACCUCGAGACGCCGAUGGAAACCAUGUGGCUAGAGUCCGGAAGAGGAGAGUGGAAUUCCUGGUGUAGCGGUGAAAUGCGUAGAUAUCAGGAGGAACACCGGUGGUGUAGACGGCUUUCUGGACCGUAACUGACGCUGAGGAGCGAAAGCGUGGGGAGCGAACAGG